AUUGAACGCUGGCGGCAUGCCUUACACAUGCACGUCGAACGGUAACAGGUCUUCGGAUGCUGACGAGUGGCGAACGGGUGAGUAAUACAUCGGAACGUGCCUAGUAGUGGGGGAUAACUACUCGAAAGAGUGGCUAAUACCGCAUGAGAUCUACGGAUGAAAGCAGGGGAUCGCAAGACCUUGUGCUACUAGAGCGGCCGAUGGCAGAUUAGGUAGUUGGUGGGAUAAAAGCUUACCAAGCCGACGAUCUGUAGCUGGUCUGAUAGGACGAUCAGCCGCACUGGGACUGAGAAACGGCCCAGACUCCUACGGGAGGCAGCAGUGGGGAAUUUUGGACAAUGGGCGCAAGCCUGAUCCAGCAAUGCCGCGUGCAGGAUGAAGGCCUUCGGGUUGUAAACUGCUUUUGUACGGAACGAAAAGCCCCGGGUUAAUACCCUGGGGUCAUGACGGUACCGUAAGAAUAAGCACCGGCUAACUACGUGCCAGCCGCCGCCGUAA
rnacentral:rRNA from 1 species